GACGAACGCUGGCGGCGUGCCUAAUACAUGCAAGUUGAGCGAUGAAGAUUGGUGCUUGCACCAAUUUGAAGAGCAGCGAACGGGCGAGUAACGCGUGGGGAAUCUGCCUUUGAGCGGGGGACAACAUUUGGAAACGAAUGCUAAUACCGCAUAAUAACUUUAAACAUAAGUUUUAAGUUUGAAAGAUGCAAUUGCAUCACUCAAAGAUGAUCCCGCGUUGUAUUAGCUAGUUGGUGAGGUAAAGGCUCACCAAGGCGAUGAUACAUAGCCGACCUGAGAGGGUGAUCGGCCACAUUGGGACUGAGACACGGCCCAAACUCCUACGGGAGGCAGCAGUAGGGAAUCUUCGGCAAUGGACGAAAGUCUGACCGAGCAACGCCGCGUGAGUGAAGAAGGUUUUCGGAUCGUAAAACUCUGUUGGUAGAGAAGAACGUUGGUGAGAGUGGAAAGCUCAUCAAGUGACGGUAACUACCCAGAAAGGGACGGCUAACUACGUG
rnacentral:rRNA from 1 species